UGUAAAUGUGGAUAGUUUUUAACUAACUGUCUGCUAUGCAUUUUAACUGAUACUACCACUGCAUCUCUCUGGAGGUGAAAAUUGUCAAGCUGACCAGCAAUGAAAUAUUGCAGAUGAAGCUUUAAGAAGGAUGUUACCGAUAUGCAACAUGAACCACUAUAACCAAUAAAAGCCAAGAGGUUAUUGCGGGGGAAAACCUCUGUCCAACGUUAAAAUACUGUAAGUAUUGGCCUGAAUGUUGAUAAUGACAUGAUUUUAAACAAGAAAAUAAGUGAAACAGAAAUAUGAUGCAUUUUUAAUUGUAAACAAGUACAUUAUUUAUGCUGCAUUUAUGGAUUAAGUACUGCCGUGCACAAGAAAGAGAAUUACUUGUGCUAUUUAUUAUAUAUAAUCCCCUGUAUAUGCAAUAGUGUGUAUGGAGUAUGAGACUUUUAAAACGACCCAAUAAUGUAUCAGCAAGUUUAGAGUUUUACCAAUAUGCAUCCUGAAUAAUGCAAGUAGAAAAGGUACAGUCGUAUCAUUGCUGCAUUAAAAAGGAAUAAUGCAAUAAAUGAUAACAGUAACAGAAUUAGAUUAGGCUGGUGUUAUUGAAUUAAAGGGUGGGCUAUUAAAGGACUAAUGCAAUGAGUACAGAGUGAGAAAACGUUAUAAAAAAAUAGUGUUGCUUUGCCUUUAUUAUAUAGCCUAUAAAUAAUGCAGUGACAACAUUGUGAAAAGAUAAGGAUUACUUCUGUAUUUAACUGUCUCCGCCUAAUUGGCAAGGUAUUACACUGUCUGUUUCUAAUUUACAUUCAGCAUUUUAAUAAACUUUAUUAAAAUACGAACUCACCCUCAAAGCUUAUCAACCCGACGAGAGAGAAAUGCGCUCCAGCGGACUCUCGUGUUCUGCCAGCAGUACCUGCAUGCAUCCCAGUGUUUAACACGCAGCUGAUCGGUGAAGGUAUGUCUGCGGUCGCAAAGCAUGAAGAUACAGUGGUGUCCAGUUGUUUUCCUGACCACUAAAUUCAGCCUUGUGAGAGCCAGGGCCUGACCACUACCUGUUUU
rnacentral:lncRNA from 1 species